AGCAGUGUGGCUUAGUGGCAAGAGCACGGGCCUGGGAAUCCGAGGACCUAGGUUCUAAUCCCGACUCUGCCG
rfam:Ornithorhynchus anatinus chromosome 20, whole genome shotgun sequence.